rnacentral:rRNA from 1 species
UGCGUAGGCGGCUUUUUAAGUCGGAUGUGAAAUCCCUGAGCUUAACUUAGGAAUUGCAUUCGAUACUGGAAAGCUAGAGUUCUGUAGAGGGGGGUAGAAUUCCAGGUGUAGCGGUGAAAUGCGUAGAGAUCUGGAGGAAUACCGAUUGCGAAGGCAGCCCCCUGGACAGUGACUGACGCUCAAAUGCGAAAGCGUGGGGAUCAAACAGGAUUAGAUACCCGUGUC